rnacentral:rRNA from 1 species
AUUGAACGCUGGCGGCAGGCUUAACACAUGCAAGUCGAACGGUAACAUAAAGAAGCUUGCUUCUUUGAUGACGAGUGGCGGACGGGUGAGUAAUGCUUGGGAAUCUAGCUUAUGGAGGGGGAUAACUACGGGAAACUGUAGCUAAUACCGCGUAAUAUCGGAAGAUUAAAGUGUGGGACCUUCGGGCCACAUGCCAUAGGAUGAGCCCAAGUGGGAUUAGGUAGUUGGUGAGGUAAAGGCUCACCAAGCCGACGAUCUCUAGCUGGUCUGAGAGGAUGACCAGCCACACUGGGACUGAGACACGGCCCAGACUCCUACGGGAGGCAGCAGUGGGGAAUAUUGCGCAAUGGGGGCAACCCUGACGCAGCCAUGCCGCGUGAAUGAAGAAGGCCUUCGGGUUGUAAAGUUCUUUCGGUAGCGAGGAAGGCAUUUAGUUUAAUAGACUAGGUGAUUGACGUUAACU